GAGUUUUCCCUUCAUUUCAUUCUUUCUUUCCGGUUUAGCUAAAGCUAAGGUCGAAAUCAAUCCCUCUUUUUCCUGUGCUUUACUAGUAGGGCUAAUGAACGACCCUUUGAUCAAAUAGUGGAAGCUUCCUUCCUCUAAAUAAACCUCUAAAGGUGCAACGAACGAGAAGGUAGCACUUCCCCUCUUCCGAUGCUGUUAGCUCGACUCCUGGUAUAGCUCAACAUAGGCAUGUAGCCGAUUUCGUAGGUGGGAACUCUUCUUUCAUCUCAAGCUCCCGGGAGCCUAAAAAAGGCAUCAACCGCAACAAGAAUUUAGGAGUCAAUGCCCAGCAAAGUCCUUAACCACGCGAAAGGGAGAUGCAAUCCGAACCUCAGGAAAGAUCCGAUCCUUCUUGUAUUAUACUUGUAUUAUAGGGCCGUUCUCUUUCUUUUCUAUUCGGCCCAUCAUUUCGUACCCAGGAAGAUUUGGCAAUCGUAAGGGCGGCUAGGGCCGUUGAGAAAGCGUCAGAAAGCAGGGUGGUCUGCCAAACUCCCACACUAGCUAGAUAAACCUUUCUCUAUCAUCUCUUAAGGACUACUAUACAUCUUCAUGUAAUAUGUAC
rnacentral:misc_RNA from 1 species